GACUGCGGACAGACGUCACACGCUCACUGCAAACAACACGUGGGUGCGUUGGAAGACGUGCUGGUACUGAGCGCACGGUGGUCACGACUUUGUGUGAGGAAUCGCUGGCACACCUACGUGAUAUCAUAGCUCUAUGGUGAUAUGGAUUUUUCAGCAAAGAGGUUUGGCAGUGAUGCAUGAGGAAAGUCAAGGAAACGUCGAAGAGUGGCACAAUUAAGAGACUCAACUUCAUUAGGGCCAGGCUAGUGGACUAUACCUCCAAUACUUGGCCCUAUACUCCUUAACGAGAAACAGGUGGAGGAAGGCUUAAACAUUGGGAUAAAGCUCCCCGGCCACGAACGGUAUCAACCACAUACAGAUUUUGUUACAACUGUGAUUUUCUCAAGAUCUUCAGUGGCAGUGAACAUGUACAACUCUAGACACCAGCAGUUGUGGUGAUCUCUGAGAACGUUAAUAACUGCACACCACAUUAGGUCUGCCGUGUAUUCUAUUGCACCAUAUGCCUGCAUUGCAUUGGCUGGACGCCACACCUGCAUACACACCUGGCAGCUGGCAAUCAGAUCAAGCCCUUUAUUGUCAUAAUAUCUGCUCUUGGAACAGUGAUGAAGGUCCAAGCAAGACAGUCAGAUUUUGGAAUCAAAGAGGGCCAGCAGUCUGUAGCUACAACCCUUAGAAGAGGAGUUUUAAAACAGUGGUGAAAACUGCAUGUAUCACUUUGCAAAUACUGACCUUGACCCUGACCCCACCAGAUGCAGCAUUCUGCAGCAGAUGUAAAAGGCUGAUGCACUAUAGCCGUGUUCCUCUUUGACUUUUUCUUCCGUGGGCGUGCGGAAACUUACUGCCACAUGCCUUUGUGUCAAUCUACCGGGCAUUCCCACCUCGGACUUGUUUUUAACCGUAAUGGAAUGCUUAUUUGCUGUGUUAGGCCUAACAUGAUAAGACCAGCUGAUUACAUAGCCUGCGCUGUACAAAAUGAUGAAAUCGGCAAAAUUUGACAAAAACAAAGAUAAAAUCAGACAAAUUUGGCCAAAUCUGCUAUAAAGACGACAAACUCGUACAAGAAAAGCCCUGUACAAAAUGUGUGUAUAGCUUUAUCUGGGCAUGCCUCACUGUGUGUGUGUGGCAUGCUGCUGUACUGUACGCAUGGAGCUGGAGGCUGGGAACCAUACAACCAUUUUCUCUGUGUGGGCAAUAGUCUGGUUCGUAUGUUUAGCGUGGUCGCGGUCAAUCUACAUUGUAUGGGAAUUGUUCCCAGUGGACUUUUCGCACCCCUGCUAACUUACCGUGUCUGCACGGAAAGCUUAUGCGACCCUUUCGGCCUGUUAGCUUUACAUCGCGAUCACGGUAAGUUGACAGGGACGUUAUAGUUUACCGUGU
rnacentral:lncRNA from 1 species